UUCCCUCCCCGCCUCCGCACCUCUGCGCGCUCGGGCUCUGGAGCUGACAUGGGCGCCGCCGCGUGGGCAUCGCCGCCCCUGGCGCUGCGUGUGUCUCUCCUGCUGCUACUUCUGCCGCUCCCGGGGCUGCCUGCGGGCUCCUGGGACCCGGCCGGUUACCUGCUCUACUGCCCAUGCAUGGGGCGCUUUGGGAACCAGGCUGAUCACUUCUUGGGCUCCCUGGCAUUUGCAAAGCUGUUGAACCGCACCCUGGCUGUACCCCCUUGGAUUGAGUACCAGCAUCACAAGCCUCCCUUCACCAAUCUCCAUGUGUCCUACCAGAAGUACUUCAAGCUGGAGCCCCUCCAGGCUUACCAUCGGGUCAUCAGCCUGGAGGACUUCAUGGAGAAGCUGGCACCCACCCACUGGCCCCCUGAAAAGCGGGUGGCAUACUGCUUUGAAGUGGCAGCUCAGCGAAGCCCUGAUAAAAAGACGUGCCCCAUGAAGGAAGGAAACCCCUUUGGCCCAUUUUGGGAUCAGUUCCAUGUAAGUUUCAACAAAUCGGAGCUUUUUGCAGGCAUUUCCUUCAGCGCCUCCUACAAAGACCAGUGGAUCCAGAGAUUUUCUCCCAAGGAACAUCCAGUGCUGGCCCUGCCAGGGGCCCCGGCCCAGUUCCCCAUCCUGGAGGAGCAUAGGCCACUGCAGAAGUACAUGGUAUGGUCAGACGAGAUGGUGCAGACGGGGGAGGCUCAGAUCCGCGCCCACCUCAUCCGGCCCUACGUGGGCGUUCACCUGCGCAUUGGCUCAGACUGGAAGAAUGCCUGUGCCAUGCUGAAGGACGGCACUGCUGGCUCCCACUUUAUGGCUUCUCCUCAGUGUGUGGGCUACAGCCGCAGCUCCGCGGCCCCCCUCACCAUGACGAUGUGCCUCCCUGACCUGAAGGAAAUCAAGCGGGCCCUGAAGCUUUGGGUGACGGCGCUCAACGCCCAGUCGGUCUAUAUCGCUACGGAUUCAGAGAGUUACGUGCUUGAGAUCCAACAGCUCUUCAAAGGGAAGGUGAAGGUGGUGAGCCUGAAGCCUGAGGUGGCCCAGGUCGACCUGUACGUCCUCGGCCAAGCCGACCACUUUAUUGGCAACUGCGUCUCCUCCUUCACCGCCUUCGUGAAGCGGGAACGAGACCUCCAGGGGAGGCUGUCCUCUUUCUUUGGCAUGGACAGGCCCCCACAGCUACGGGACGAGUUCUGAUCCUGGCUGCAGCGCAUCACCAGUCUGAGCUGGUCACUGCAGCCAGGCCUGGCAGCCAGAGCUGCUCUCAGGAUUGAUCCCCAAAGGAGCCAACUCCUCUUCACCUGCCAAAGACAGAGAGAAGUACCAGGGACUUCCUACAGGAGGAAGACAUUCCCUCUCCCGGGCACAGGACGUCCACGUUCCUAGGAGCCAGACCAUCUACGCUCCUCGUGUGAUUCCGGCUGUUUCUCCUGGGAAUUUCUAAUACCAGCAAAACAGCCCAACCUCUGUCUUUUGGGCUGCCCUGCUCUGAGCAGCCUGCAAUGCGGAACUCUCUUCAGAGAGAUUUUUUAUAUACCUAUAUAUAGAGAAAGAUUUUUAUAGUUUUGAUACAAGGUCAUGACUACCCUAGAACUCUCCCUCGUUUAAAAAAAAAUCAGCGAAGUUCAUUAACGUAGGUACCUAAAGUGACCUUAAUUGAAUGUAGAUGAGGCCAGGGAUGGGGUGGGCGUAUUCACCACUUUUCCAUAUGACCUCCAAAGUGGCCCUCAGACUCAUCCCCACUGCCUGGCCAGAGCCACUGUCACCCCGCUUCCUGGGCCAUUUCCAGGUUCGGGGCAUGAGCACUGUCCUCCACUGUAAACACUAUGCAAAUAUAAGUUCUCAGUCAAGGUGCCCUGUAACGCUCUGCAGACAGCGGAGUGCUGCUCAAAGCACAGUCCCAGCAAGGAGCACAGGUCAUCAAGCCUGACCGUCAUGGCAUUGCUCUCAGUCAGAGACUCUUGGCAGUUGGUGGCCUGCCACAAAUGUGGCACCAUCAGGGUUUCCUAACGCAUCACCAGGGGCCAGGGCUUACUGGCCUGGUGGGAUCCUUCUGAGGGCUUUCUCCUUUUUGAUCUCUUGCCUCAGGGGCCUGGUUGUAGAAUUUUGUCAUUGAGUUAGUAUCUAUGGCCUGUUCUCCCAGUCUUUCUCCUACAGCUGGAGCCCUCAGACCAUAUUCUCUUGCAGUGUAUGCUAAGCCUCUGACCAGACAGAAGAUACUCCAGAUCCAGCAGCCAUCAGUCCCAGUUAGGAAACAGCCUUUGUUCGUUCCUAUCCAGUGUAAUCUCUCUGUCAACCCCAUAAGGCUUACAGUGUUACGUUGUCUCUCAGAUGCUGCAGUCGUAAUAAUCCAUAACUCCCGAGAGUGAUUUUUUGGCCUUAUGGUUCUAAAAUUUAGGUUUUAGCACCUGCUGAUCUCUUGCCAUCAUGUGACCCCUCUCGGUCUUCUGUCCCGGAAAGGUGGGGGAGACUGACGAGAGCCAGGCACGCAGCUCCAGGCCAGGGCUUCUCCUUUCUGUGUCAGGGCAGACUGAGUCAGAGAUUACAGGGCAGCAAGGGUCUCAAAGACUAAAGGUGACAUUUGCUGCUCUGAGUUACUGCCCAACUCUCAAGUGGGAGAAACUACAGAAAGGGCUUUUGUAUUUCUCCUCUCGGGAAAACAGUGAGAUGUUUUAAAUCCUAGGUGGAUUCUGAGAGACAAUUUGUCUGUUCAGACUUGUUCAUGAGCCUCAUUCAGAGACAUGGAGCCCCUGCGUCCCUGCCUCUCUAUUGGCUGGUUGGGGAAGCGUGGCUCACUGGCUGAUUUCACUUUCUGUUCACAGACUAGCACUAGGUACUAGAGUCUGGCCUCUAAAGGACCAUCCAAACUGUCUUGAUUAGCUUUACCAGUGAUAACAGCUUGUGUUUCUAGAGGAGAGGGUGUUGAGAGCUGCAAUCAGACUUAGUAUGUUCUAUAGGCCGGCACUUUUGACCCAGUUUUCCCACCAAUAAAAUGGUGAUAAAACUGCCAGGAUUGUUGAAAGGCUCAAAUUGGAUACAACAUGUACAAGAUCUCAUUGUAAACUUGAAAGAGACAAAGGCACAUCUGUAGCUGUUGAUUAAUUGGACUGCCUCUUGCCACACACCUACUCUGUGCCAGGCACUGUGCUUGUUAAGUGAUUUAUGGGCAUUCUCUGGUUGAGACCCCACCCCAGCCCUGAGAUAUUGAAACUUAUUAUCUACUUUCUGCAUAAGGAAAAUUUAAUGCUCAGGAAAUUCUUAUAAUUGUUCCAAGGCCGCACAGCUGGUGGCAGCAAGUCAGAAUCUGACCUCCCAAAGCCAGUCCUGGCAGCUGCCAUGCCCUGCUGCACCCAGGUCACAGGAUGCACUUUUCACCCAUUGGGCUUCUGCUGCGGGUCUUCCCCUGCCAGAGGGUUUGGGGAGGAGGAGAUCACUUGAAAAACAAAACAGUUGUCUUGGGUGGCUUUUAGUUCAACAUCCUUUCAAGCAACAGGUAUUUAUUGUGCUAGGUACUAGGGAUUCAGCAGAGAAUCAGACGUAAAGUCUUUGUUCUCAAGGAAUUUGCAUUCUAGUAAGUAGAAGACACAAUAAUCAAAUGUACCGUGGGAGGUGUGAAGUGCUACUAAGGAAAAUAAAGGGCAUGGGGGUUGCAGAGGGGGAACAGAGUUGUUUUAGAUAGGAAGCUUGGGUAAGGCCUCUCUGAAGAGGAGGGAGGGGCGCGCAUUCAGAUAUCUGGAGGCUGCACCUUGCCAGCAGAGGAAGCUGUAAGUGCAAAGGCCCUGACGCCGGAGUAAGUGAGAGGAAUAGCAAGAAGGCCAUCACGGCUGCAGUAGCAGAAGCUGGCAGGGAACAGCCGUAGAUCAGCAAGAGAGGUGACUCGUCCCACAGCCUGGAGGGCAGUGAUAAGGUCGGGACUCGGCUUUUAUUUGGAGAGAGAUGGAAAGCCUUGGUGUGGUCUGAACAGAGGAAGGUCGUGGUCUGAUUUAUGUUUUAGAAGGACCUCUUUGGCUGCCACGAGAAGAGAUGGGAAGGAAGGAGGGUGGAAGCAGACCAGCGCGAGGCUGCUGUGGGAUGCAGGCCCUGAAGACCCUCAGAACAAGACCCAUGGGGCAGUCAGGAUGGGACGGCAAGUAUUGAAGUUCCUGUUUUCCUCCAGCUAGAAGAGAGCUUCCCCUAGAACAAGGACCAUGCCUGAUGUAUCUCCCUCUUCCAGCCCCUAACCCAAUGCUUCGCUUAUAAGUGUGUCCAUUGUAUAUGGGUUGAAUGAAUGCAUGUGCAGAGAAAGUGGUCUGGAAAGGUGAGAUGACGUCUGACAUCGUGGAACUUUCAUGGAGGAGGUUGGAGUUGAGUUGAAUGAUGGGAACAAUUUCAACAGGUACUCAUGGGGAUGAAGAAAAGGAAUUCUGGACGGAGGAAACCACAUGAGCAAAGGCGCCAAUUGGGGACCAUCAUUGGUCUAGUGCAGCUGGAUUGGGGGAAGAAUUUGGAGAGCUCGUUGGGGUCAGAACAUGACAGGAGCCGGUGCUUUGGAUGCCAGAGCGUUUGUAUUCCCAGGAGCCGUAGGGAGCCAGUGAAGACUAUGAUUCAAGGCAAGUGACAUAGUCAGAACUGGGUGGGAGGGCCCUUCACGGGACUGAGUUUAAAUGAUUGAGGGGAAAGGCUGUAUGAUGAAAACCAGAAAGAUAAGUUUGUGGGGAGCAUUAGUCAGUGCUAUGCAUGGGUCUGGGGAGAUGGAGAUCAGAGAUGAGGCAGCAGAGGAAGGUUUGAGUAGCAUGUAAAGGACUGGAAUGCCAAACUAAGAGUCUGGCCCUUUCCCUUGGAGGGAACAGAAAAGGGUUUUAAACCGAGGCUGCUUGAUCAGAUCUUACUCAGAGCUGUCUCUGGGUCAAAGGCAAGC